GUCAGCUUAAAGCGAUGGCUGUCUUAGGUUAAAGACGAAUUAAAUAUAAACAACUGUUUGGAGCGUUGAAUUGUAUAUUAAAUUAUGAGAGAAGAGGCGUGCCACUUAGCAGCAUCAUUUGAUGAACUGUCUGCGCGGCCAUAAGCCCCCAAAAGGACAUACGCAUUUCAAUUCCCCAAGCGCAGCUUAGCACCACAAUAAAAUGAAGUGCAGCAGUAAAAGGAAUAUGAAAAGAGCGACGACGACACGGACACAAUGGGGAAGGGACGAAGAGGAGAAUGCUGUGUAAGUGCGUGGAGCAUAAAGUAUGCGCCGCAAGUGAUAAGCCAAAAGCAAAAUGGACACCGAAAGCCUCACUAGUCAAUAUGCUAAAGGUCAUGGGAGGAUGCCAAAAAUACUACAACUACGACAACAAACGAGGGCAACGACUACAAGCUGAACUGGAGCUGGAGCUGGCAAUGAAGCUGGAAGCAGCAGGAGCUUAGUGGCAACAACAAGAAGCAUAACCUAAGGCAGGCCAAGGAUAUUGGGGCGUUCACGAAAAAAGUUAAACACACUUUAUGUUGGGGGCUGUGCCCGGGUCGGACAAAAAUGCCUGGCAUUGGAUUUGGGCGCCAAAACCACCGAAGCGACCAACAAAAAAAAAUAUACGAAGCGAAGGCAGAAAUGAAAGCAAACGAUGGCGGCCAAAAAAUGACGUGCCCAGGACGAUGGCGACAUGCCCGCCAGCAGUAAGCAGCAAAAGCAGCAGCAGCAGUUCAAGAAUAACAAGCACACUAAAGGGGAGACUCAGUUAUACGGAAGGAUGUCUUCGGUCUCUGAUGCUUGCCAGGCACGUAAGCAGUUGAUGCCUGCUCCCGUCUACCUACUGCCGUCUACCGUCUGCCCCCAACCUGCUGAAGGAGAUGAAGCAAAAAGAAAACUCCACAGGCCACAGUUUUUGGGAUGCUCGUCCUUUGUGCUGUGUCCUUGGGGUUGGUAAACACGGCACCAAAUUGCCGUUUAAAUUUCUCCCCAAUGUAUGUGGCUCCCAAAACGGGGAGCGGCCUUGAAACAUUAUGAUGACUACUGCCAGGAGUUACCUAUCCCCGAAAGAGGAAAAACAAUGCUGCAAACUUUAGAUUUGAAGUUGUGGUUGUCAGGCAAUGUGUCUGGAGACGUUAACUGCGACCUAUGCCUUCACCCUUUGGAGUCUGAGCCAUGUCAAAGGAUCGCAAAGCCGCCGCACUGUUUAAUGCGUCUGCUGAGCAAGGGUUCGUUGAGCUGUGGUCGCUUAACUAAUUAAACUUGUUUCAGGUACGAGGACAUGCAAAUAUUUUUAAGAGUCUACCCAAAACGCAUGUUAUGGCCAAAUUGCAAUGUGUUUCGACGAUGGAAACAUGAAAAAUGUAUUCCGGCACAUGCUAAACGACUAGAGAAUGCUCUUUCCCAAAAUGGCAAAGUCCCUUGACAUCUCGUCAAGUUCGCUCACUCAACUUGUCAGCUGUCUAGCGCAUUAAAACUAACUGCUAAAUUAUUGGGAAAGUAACCCAUCCAUCUCGGGGAUCUUAGGGCCUGCCAGGAUGCCAGGAUGCUGCCGGCGAUGUUCGUGUGGGGCAGGCAAAAAAUGAAGAAAAAUUGCGGCAUGUCAGUUAAAGGCACAACAACAAUAAAAAGGGACAAAACAGAGAAGAGAUGAACAUGAAGACAUUGUGUUGGAGACUGAAGUCGAGGCGAACACGCGCCAAAAGCAUCCAACAACAAUAUUAACAACAACAGGAACAGGAACAAGAACACGAAUAGAAACUGGCAGCAGAAGCUGAUGCUGCUGCCAGGACGAAAAUGUAAUAAGUGUGUCUAUUUGUUCGCAAAUAUUUCAUUUCCCGUGCCUUUAUUUCACAUUUCGCAUUUCGCCAUAAAGACACUCGUCCAACUCCCGCACAAAGCGUUCUUCGUUCCUGCGUUCGGCGAAAAAUGAGAAAACCCAGGAAGAGGAAAAACGAACACGAAAACGAAAACUUAAUUUAACUUUAUGAUAAAAAUGACCAAAUAUUUAGCUACCUAAUGUUCUUAAUAUUUUGUUAGCUAUUUCGAAAAGGUAACAGCGAUUAUCAUUUGCCGUAUGAAUGAUAACAAAGCAGAUGAGCUGCCAGGUAACCUCUAAUUAACUAGAUGUCUCUAUUAAGGAUAUAUAUGAUAUAUUAGAUUAGGUAAGGAAGUCGUAGUGGGGAAAUCCCCUGAAGGUGACAAGGCUAACAAACUCAAAGUUGAGUAUCUUAAUAGAAAUUCUAAUGACACAGACUUGAAUGUGUUAUUUAAUUCCUUAAAAUGUAAGAAAGAGGCGAAUACAAAAUUUGUCAAAAAAUUGAAUACCCAUUAACAAUUUAAGUUAU